UUUAGAGUUUAAGAUUUGCAAAGGACAACCUUUUUUGAAUUGGCUGUAUAGCGGAAUCUUUUAUUUCAAGUUGAGGCUUAUAUGGCUUUCUUCAAAAAGCACUAAUUGAAGAAUUGCUAGAAUCUAAAAAAUAAACACUGGAACCUUCGAUGUUUAUCAGCAUGUUGCACCCUUCAAGCUUUGUCGCCCCCUCCCACACCUUUCCCCACCCCACCCCCCUUGAGACGCGAUCCCCCUUGUUAUUGUUUCAGUUCUUCGCCACUGACUACAUAACACGAGUUUUUCAUUUAGUACCUAAUUAGUCUUUGACGUGAUUGAGUGGACAAAUUGUUUACUUGCAAAAUAAUUUCCAAGCUAAUUUUGGUUUCUACGAUACCUGUAUCAGUCGCGGUCACUUUGCGAAAUAUUAGGAGGGAGGCGGAUUUAGGUUGCCAACAUAAUACCACCUUUUGUUGCUGGAAAUCAUAGAUCUUUAAACUUUUUUGCUUUACAUUUCAUGCGAAAUAUAUACCUUGCUUUACAGCCUCC